CCUGCUUCGGCUCGCGCAGGGUGCACACACCCACUGACCUGUGCCCACUGUCUGGCACUCCCUAGAUAGAUGAACCCGGUACCUCAGAUGGAAAUGCAGAAAUCACCCUUCUUCUGUGUCGCUCAGGCUGGGAGCUGUAGACCGGAGCUGUUCCUAUUCGGCCAUCUUGGCUCCUCCCCCACCCCCGUAUUAUCUUAAAAAUUAGAUUGUUUUCUGCUGGUUGCUUUCUGAAAUUCUACUGGACCUAAUGCCAUUGGAAAUGGAUGGGGAGAAGGCCUGAUGAAAAUUACUGAGGAAGCCUCUUAGCCUAUGUGCUCUGAGAGUAGUGACACCUAGCAGUCGUUAAGACCACUUAAAUUAUCCUAAGACAAUGGAUGUGAACAGGCACUUUUCAAAAGAAGACAUACAUGCAGCCAACAAUCAAAUGAAAAAAAGCUCUACAUUACUGAUCAUUAGAGAAAUGCAAAUCAAAACCACACAAAAGAUGAUCAAGAGGAGCAUGAAAAAAUCCCCUGAAUCCAUUGGCUUUCUUCCCUAUACUGACAACAGUUUACUUGUGUAAGAGAUGCAUGCCUCGACUCCGGACCCCUUCUUUCAUCUGCAAAAUCAGCAGCACCCUCACAUCAUCUCCUGUAACAAACUCUCUCUGUCUCCUCCAUAUAAGGUCACUGAUGGUUACAUUUAGGGUCCAUGAUAUAAGGCCCUCUCCAGGGUGCCUGAGUUUGUUGUUUCAUCACAGAAUUACACGGAAGAGACUGGAAAGAUAACUCUUCAAAUGUCAAAUCAUUCCCCUAUAAAAAAUUUUGCCACAGCUGUUGAAAUAUGGCCUUAGGGUUUAUGACAGAAUUUGAACCAGCCCCAUGGAAAAUGCAUCUUGACUCUGCUUUUAUUCCUUUCCCUGCUGAGCUCCUAAUAGAAGAUGGAUGUCUAUUGCUUUUCUCUUGAUAUUCAUGGCACUGCUCCUCUCCAUCCAUAGGAUUAUCUUAUUCAAGUUGGUGUGUAUCUGCAAAGGCGAUGGAAAGGAGUUCUUACAUAUGCAUAUUCUGAAGAAGGAUGUUACCCUUACUGAAAAACUUAUUCCAAGAUAUGUUUAAUCAAUCAUGAGAAAAAUAAAGAGACAUCCUUAUGAAUGGAGAAUAAAGUCCUCAGGGUUUUUUUCUAAUUCCCCAUGUGAAUGAAGAGCUGUGUUAUUCUAAAUAUAGUGUUUGUCAUAAGGCAAUUGUGUUGGUUUGAGUCCUUAGUCGCUGUGACACUGAUAGAAUUCCUAUCUCCAAUUGGAAGGUAAGUUGACCUUGCCUCACUUUUGGGCAUUUACAAAGUAAAAGUGUCUUCAUAUUCCAGGUUACAAUCCUCAUAGAGAUGCAGGAAGAGUCCAAAACUACCAAGGCAGACAGAAAUGCACCAUUGAGCUCUGCUGUUGAAAGCAUCUGAUGGUGGCCCAUUCUGAUGAGACAUUGGACUUCCCUAGUAGGAAAGUUUGGUUUGGGGACUCCUGUCUUUCUGGCUCAGAUUUUCUUAGAGCUGCACUGCAGUCUGAGACUCUACCUGCCCCACUCUCUUUCUUUCCCUUUCUUGUCAACAACAUCAGUUCUGCAUUGCAGUCUGAAGGAUUUCUCUGCCUGAUCCUGCUUUCUCCUCUUUAUUCUUUGCAGUUGUUUCUAACUGCAGAAUCUCUUGAAAGUCUACUCCCAUCUGGCCGGGCGUGGUGGCUCAUGCCUGUAAUCCUCGCACUAUGGGAGGCCGAGGCGGGCAGAUCACGAGGUCAGGAGAUAGAGACGAUCCUGGCUAACACAGUGAAUCCCCGUCUCUACUAAAAAAAAAAAUACAAAAAAAAAAAAAAUUAGCCGGGCGUGGUGGCGGGCACCUGUAGUCCCAGCUACCUGGGAGGCUGAGGCAGGAGAAUGGCGUGAACCCGGGAGGCCGAGCUUGCAGUGAGCCGAGAUCACGCCACUGCACUCCAGCCUGGGUGACAGAGCGAGACUCCAUCAAAAAAAAAAAAAAAAAAAAAAAAGUAAGUCUACUCCCAUCUUGCUGUCUGCUUUUCAGAUGACCUAAAUAAAUACUUUAAAAAAUAUAAUUGGUGAAACCCCGUCUCUACUAAAAAUACAAAAAUUAGCUGGACGUGGUGGUGGGUGCCUGUAACCCCAGCUACUAGGGAGGCCGAGGCAGGAGAAUCGCUUGAACCUGGGAGGUGGAGGUUGCAGUGAGCCGAGAUCACGCCACUUCACUCCAGCCUAGGCAAUAGAGUGAGACUUUGUCUCAAAAAAAAAAAAAAAUAAAUUGUUUUGAAGAUGGUGAAUAUGGGAUUAUCACCUCACCUGAGAAUAGGAGUGAGAGAAAUUGAAUAAAUAUAGAGAAGUGAAGUUAUUUCAAUAAGAAUUUUUAAAUUUAAAGUCAUGUAGAUUCUGAGAUGAGAUCAUAUUAGAAGACAAGUUAGAAAUGGACUACUUAGCUUUAAGAAAGAGUUAACAUCUAGGUACAUAUCAAUAAUGGCUAAAUCUAUGAGCAUUCUCCUUGAAUGAUGAAACUCCAUCUUUGUUUCAGUCAUGGAAUUGCGCUGUUGAACUUUUUGUGUCCUGUCUAGGGCAAGUCUUAACUGCAUCAGCCCUCAUUACAGGUUAAAUACACCCAAAGUCCCUAAUCAACAUUCACUGCAUGUGUUUGUAAGUAAAAGCAUUUGCGUUUCAAUUAUGGAAGAGUCUUUACUGUAAUAUGGAGACUAUCUGAGCUUACUUUUGUUAUUUCUGUAAAAGUAAGUUACCAGCCCACAUUUAUCUAUUAACUUUUUGCAAUAAUUGUAGUAUAAUUUGUGAGCUUAUUAAGAAUGUGAUUGUUUUUUAAAUAUUUGGAAACAUUCUUUCUACAAAAUACUAAUAGCUCAGAUGGGAAAUAUUUUGAAUAAUUGUAUGUUUUAAGUAUAGUCAAUAAAUCAAAUAAAUUUCAAUUCAUAACAUUUUUCAUUAGAUGACAAUGUUAUAUAAACUUAAUAUAGUUUCAGUGAUAGGUUAUAUUUGUUUUUUCUUCCUAUUCCCUUAGUUCAUCUUGAAGCUCAUUCUGGGUGUGUAACUGAUUCCAAAGGCAAUUUCCCUUCAUCCUCAGUUUUAGGAACUCCCAGGAACCAAAGCUUAAAUAUCUAUUUUCUUAGGAAGGCUACAUUUAUAUAAAUGUAUUAAGCCUGAUCCCUCUCUGAGAGCAAAUAUAAUUACAUUUGUUUUUCCCAGUUUGUAAUAAAACUUUAAAUAAAGAUCUCUAGAUAAAGGACUUUUACCCCCCUGGUUAAAAUCUGCUUUCUUGUUUACUUAACAUUUGGUGGUGAUGCAAUGUAUAAGGUAUCGGCCAAGGAAUGACUCUGUCUUUUCCUGUUGUUUUCUUCUACAGGUUGUGUUUCACAUGGAUGUGGGUAUGGUAUGCCACAGCAAUAUGACAUCUUGAUUAUGUGUAUCUGUCAAGACUGUUUUAAAGAACAUUCUCACCUCAGAUUUCUUAGGUCAUAACAUUAUAUUCUUGGUAUUCACAGCCUAAACUGUCAUGCAGAUGGAAUACACUUUGCUUUCUUGGUGAUCUGUGGUAUAGAGAAUGAGUUCCAGUUACCAUGGGAAAUGUAUUUGUUUGUUGGCUUGUUUCUUGUCUUAAUAGUGGUUUGUAUUAAAAGUAAAAUCAGAAAAAUAUCUAAAAAAUCUAUUGAGAUGGUGGCGAACAUUACGAAUCUUAACCUUCUUAUAGAAUACCCAAAGAACAGAUCUAAAGAAUUUCAAUAAUGACCAUAGGUUAUGUCAAAUAGUACAUUAGCUAUAUAUAUAUAUAUAUAUAUAUCUGUAAUAAAUAAUAUUUUGAUUAAUUUUCCACCAGAUAUAUACAUAUGUAAUUUUCCUGCUAAUAUAUAUUUGUACCAAAUCUGUACAUUUGAACUUUCCCUUCCAAACGUUUUUUUAUUUGGGUAUAGUUAUUAGCAGUCAUCUGUAGCAGGUCAGAGUGCUGGAAGAGAGGCUGGUAGACAUCAAAAUAAAUGACUUCCGUGCCACAUCUGAGAUGCCCUAGAGGCCGAGAUCAUGAUUCCCUUUGUCAAAUAAACUAAAAGUUCUAGAAUUUUCAGACUCCUGUUAGUUUCUGCUACCACUUAAGUGUUAAUAGCUAAUAAUAGAGCAAGCUUGAUUACUACCUUGGUGUCCUAAAACGGAUGUUGGCCUGCCAGGUAAUGUCCCUCCAUUUGCAUCUUGUUUUUUCUAUCUAUGUAGCCAUGGAGAACACGUGCCACAAUUUACAGGGGAUGGUCAUCUUAUCUGUAAAAUAAAGUGUUCCCGUCAGAUGAUCCCCAGUAUGCUGAGUUGUGUUUCUCUGAGGCACCCACCACCACGCUGGGCUAAUUUUUGUAUUUUUAGUAGAGACGAGAUUUUACUGUGUUGGCCAGGCUGCUCUCAAACUCCCUACCUCAGGUGAUCUGCCCACCUUGGCCUCCCAAAGUGCUAGGAUUACAGACAUGAGACACUGUGCCUGGCCGAGCUGCUGAUUUUUAUUCAAGAGUCUAUAGUUGUUUUUCCUUUUUUUCUUAUUUUCUACUUAACUUCCAGGAGGCAUGAGUGUGGACUGAAUGGAACACUAAGAUUUCUUCCAGUUCUAUGAUUUUAUGAAUUAUUACUUGAUAACUCUAUAUAUUGGCAAUGACAUAGAUGAGAAGUUUUCCUGAUUUCUAUUCCACUUCUUUUUUUUUUUUGCUUCUCUUUCUCCUAGGAAAACAAUAUUUUUUUCCCCAGAUUACCAUAUCUUACUGUAGUAAAGAAUAAUUAAAAUAUUCAAAAGCAAAGCGUCACUGGCUGCCAAGGCUCUUAAAAAUGCUCAAACAUAUUUUAGGUCUGUAAAGAUUAUCUUUUCUCAUUCUUCAUACAACACUAAAAUAUUAAUCCUGACCAUAGUGUGACUAUAUUAGUAUUAGUAUGAGUACUUUUAGAUGCUUAGUAAUUAGUUCUGCAAAAGAUUGAUAAAAGACACUAUCAUAUCUAUGAGAAUUCGAGAAUCAUAACUUGUCUUCCUGUUUUAAAUGCAUGCUUAGAUAACUAAAAAUAAUUUUAAACUGUUAUCAGUCUCAUUAUUUUUAGUGAAAAAUACACCUUUCUCCAGAUACAUAUUCCUUUAUCUGGGAAAUAUAGAUGGAAUCAGUGAUAUACCUGUUGCUGAGCACAUUAUUAUAUCAUUAAUGCUUAUAUAUUUCAAAUUAUAUGCAUAUUCUCUCCAGAGUGAUUAGAUCCCUUCUACAGUUAGGGUAAUGAAGGCUUUAUUUGCCUGAGGGGACACAGGGAACCAUUUAGGAGAGUGAGGCAAUUAAGCAAUUAUAUAACAUUUUGAAAACAUUCAAUACUUCCCACCAUUUGAUUUGUACUUCUGGAGAACUGCUUUUCUCAUACUAGCUGGUUAGAAUAGUAAAAAUCCUCACACCCUCCCCUCCCAUCUGUCAUUUUUUUUGGUCAUGAAAUUAUACCUCAUUUUACAAAAUGCAUUUUUCUGAGAAACUAAUGCUUACAUUGAAUUUUGCAAGUUUAAUAAUUAAGGAUUGGAAUGUUUUAUUUAAAAUAAUUAAGAUUAUUUUUUAAAAGUAUCACGUGUGAAAGUAAUUAUCACCCCCAAAUUGUAUUUUGCAAAUUGUGCCUAUUUUAUCACUACUAUACAUUUAGGACGAAAAGAAAAAAAGUUGGGGGUGGAUAAUCUAUCAUAAUACAAAAAGAAAAACUCUUGAGUCAGUGUUACUUUUCAUUGGGGAAAAGGCAGGUGGGAAAAAUAGAUAAAUACAAGUUAGAGUUAAUCCUAAAAUCUCAUUACAGCUUAAAAUAUCAAUCUCUAGAAAUACAAAACAUUUGCCAAAAUAAUUGUUAAUAUGUGCAACACUACCCAAAUUAAAAAAUGCAAUUCUCCCUUCUGCUAGUCCUCCUUCUGUACCAAUAUAAUUAGCAAUAAAAUUGAAGGCAACAAAAAUAAGAAAAGACAUAAUGAUCCUGGAAAAUCUACAAAAUGGAUUAUCAUUUUCUAACAAUUGUUAAUACACUGUGUUUUUUAUGUGGUGGUGUGAUAACAUUUUUUUCUUGCUUUCUUGUAAGUUAGGUACUGUGCUAUAUUUAUCUUUGACAGGGCACCUAGCAUCUGAUAGAAAUUCUAAACAGCAAAUGGUAGUAUGAUAUUUUUAUUAUCUAUGCCUCUUAAAACUCUGGCCAAUAGCAAGUAACACCAUUUCCACCUCCCAGAGGAGAAAGAUAAACACAAAAGGAGCUUAAGUGGAUAAAUCACAUAGCAUGGACACAGAAUCUUUUCUAAAUAAAUAACCUAUUAAAAUAGAAGUUGGCAGUCUUAUAAAAAGAAAAUAAAAGUUCUGAUGAGGAAACCUGGGUUGUUUCUCAGCUCUAACUACAAAAAUAAACAUCCUUGAGAAAUUGCUGAACCUCCUUGUUCUUGCUUAAUGUAAAAUGAGAGGGCAAGAUUAAAUGAUCUCAAAGCUCCCUUUCAGUUCAGGGACUGUGAAAUAAUAUGGUAAAUAGGCUUACUUAGGACCUUCUCGGGCACUAGCACUUUAAGAGUUUUACGUGGAUUGUAUAAUCAUCAAAAUAAUCCUGCAUAAUAGACACCAUUGUUAGUUGCAUUUUAUGAAGAAAGUGAGGCUUAACCAUUGAAGUAUUUUACACAAUGUCAUGUGUUUAGGGAGCAGCCAAGGUGAAGUUUUCAACCAGGCCGACCAACUUCAGAGUCCACUGGCUUCAAAACAGUGCUUUACAUCCUCCUUCCAACAUUAUUCACAAGCCGAUCAAGACUGAGAGAGUCACAAGUGUGUGAAACCUGUAUUCUUUCUGACUUCAUUUUCCCUGGUCGAAAUUUUUGUAGAAUAGACAAAUCAAGAAUGAUGACUUCUUAAGAUGCAGUAUUCAAGUUCAGAAAUCUAUACUCAGAUGACCUUAUGUAGGUCAUCUGCUUCUGAGGUUUAUCUCACCAGUGAGAGUUGAAAACAUAUCCUCUACUUAUAUUAAACUAGGAUGCAUAAGAGGGUUGAUAAAAUGGAAUUCAAGUGAACA
rnacentral:lncRNA from 10 species